AUUGAACGCUGGCGGCAUGCCUUACACAUGCAAGUCGAACGGCAGCACGGGGCAACCUGGUGGCGAGUGGCGAACGGGUGAGUAAUGCAUCGGAACGUACCUUUCAGUGGGGGAUAACGUAGCGAAAGUUACGCUAAUACCGCAUAUUCUGUGAGCAGGAAAGCAGGGGAUCGCAAGACCUUGCGCUGAUUGAGCGGCCGAUGUCAGAUUAGCUAGUUGGUGAGGUAAAGGCUCACCAAGGCGACGAUCUGUAGCGGGUCUGAGAGGAUGAUCCGCCACACUGGACCUGAGACACGGUCCAGACGCCUACGGGAGGCAGCAGUGGGGAAUUUUGGACAAUGGGGGCAACCCUGAUCCAGCCAUGCCGCGUGAGUGAAGAAGGCCUUCGGGUUGUAAAGCUCUUUCGGCCGGGAAGAAAUCGCACGGGCUAAUACCCUGUGUGGAUGACGGUACCGGAAUAAGAAGCACCGGCUAACUACGUGCCAGCCGCCGCCGUAAGAC
rnacentral:rRNA from 1 species